rnacentral:rRNA from 1 species
AUACGUAGGUGGCAAGCGUUAUCCGGAUUUACUGGGUGUAAAGGGCGUGUAGGCGGGUCUGCAAGUCAGAUGUGAAAUCUCCGGGCUUAACUCGGAAGUGUCAUCUGAAACUACGGAUCUUGAGUACUGGAGAGGAUAGUGGAAUUCCUAGUGUAGCGGUAAAAUGCGUAGAUAUUAGGAGGAACACCAGUGGCGAAGGCGGCUAUCGGGACAGUAACUGACGCUGAGGCGCGAAAGCGUGGGGAGCAAACAGGAUUAGAUCCCCUGGUAGUCCACGCCGUAAACGAUGAAUACUAGGUGUAGGAGGUAUCGACUCCUCCUGUGCCGCAGCUAACGCAAUAAGUAUUCCACCUGGGGAGUACGGCCGCAAGGUUGAAACUCAAAUGAAUUGACGGGG